CCGGUCUAUUUUUAAUACCAAAAGAGGAACAGAUGCUGGUAGGACACCGACGGCAGCAACGACAGGCUGCGCGUGCCCAGUGCGCUUAUGACCGUGAACGAAUACACAAAAUCACAUCCUAUGUAGCUAAUUGAUGGUGUUGGCAACUCAGACAGUAAUUAUGUGCCUCUUUAGCCAUUACAGUUUAUUAUUAUUAUUAUUAUUUCUAUGAGAUGACAGGUGCUCGUGUUCAUAGUGUCUCAUUAGAAAUGGAUGUUUGUCCCUCUCAGAGUUAUUUCUAUAACUGUUUUACAGUCUGAAUCUAAAUGAUUCCCUAACUCUGUUCCAUAACUCUUGCAAAAUUAACGUCUCCUAUAAAGUGACAGGUCAGUAGUCAAGUGCUUGCCAUAACACGAGUAUGAAUAAUUGAUUUUUUAUAAAUAAGUUGAGGUGUAUAUGAAGAUCAGCUGAAAGCAAUUUAGUUUUUAUCAGUGGUGUUUUUCCUGACCUUUAUUCAUUGCGCCUAAAUACUGCCAGGUUUUAACGUGAGGAGAUUAUGGUGAUGCUCUUGAGCUCACUGAGGUCAUUUAUAAAUUAUGUCAUCACAUCCCUAGCCUGGGUGCUCUGGAGCUGUAUGUACCACAUCCCCUUGAAAGUUCAACAUGGCCUCCUGUAAUCCUCUUCUAUUCUUAAUCUGCGCUGUCCCGCUGCAUGGGCGACCUCCCGUGGUCAGUAGAGUGUGAAUUGGGGAUUGCAAAUUGAUUCUUCAAUGUAAAAGCCUGCCCUUGGAUAUAUGGCUACCCCUUCAUGGGUGUUUUGUUGGAAAAUGCCAAUCUUUGCUCAAUUGCAGAACAAACUUCCCUCCACUUUACAGCCCUCCCUCCAGUUUGUCCAUGGAAGACCACAUUUAAAAAGUAACCCCACCUGAAACUUCACAAAGCCCAAUCAGCUAUAGAAAUGUCAGAGCAGACGGCACACCCUCUUUUGUUCAAAACCAAUCAGAGUGGAAGUGUGGCAUUUUGCCUGAGGGGAAAACUUACCCCUGGAUGCGUUAAUUACGCAUCACUUAGCUGUUGCCAAUGUGUUCACAACGGAGGAUCCUCUUUUGGGUUUUUUACAACGACUGUCUUCAUUCUUUGGUCAAUCUAGUAUGGAAAGUAGACAACAAUGGCUUACCAGGCUGAAAAAUGAACUUAGUAACAGUCCUCUGGUAUCAAAUGUGGCUUUUGGCUUUAUCCUCAUGGGACUAGAGAAGCUGGUGGAGCUGGAGUUUGAGUGUCCUUGCAGUCCUAAAUGGAACGGAUUGUUUUCAUCAGCAUUCUUCAUCAUUCCUGCCGUCAUGGCCUUCACUUUGAUGCUGAUCAUUCAAGGAUGCAGAUGUGAUAUGUGGUGCAGGAAAACUGUGUCCCUCUCCAGUUUUGUUCCCGCUAUCGUGUGGCUGAUUUUAUUGUUCCUCGAUGGCCAAUACUUUGCUUGUGCUAUGACAGACUGGGAGGGUAGAUUUGUACUAGUUGACAAGGCAGCUCCACAGAAAUGGUGUGAGCCAAUUAGAGAGGGAGAUGUCACCACACAAGAACUAAUGCUCCGCUCACAACAGCUGUUUGUGUUUUCUCAGGUUAUAGGCAUAGUCCUCCUCAUUUUCAUCUGUAUGGGUCUCAUAGUGUAUGUAAUCAGAGAAAGCUGCCAACAAGAUGUGGAGAUGCAGGAUGCAAAUGUAGCUGAGCUCACUGUGCUCAGGAUGAGCUCUCUAAGGACCCGGACAUCUUGAGGGGACACACACCGCCCACCACACCUGCCCUGCUGGCACGGAUACUUGUAAAUACUUGGAACAGACAUUUACUAUAAGUUUUUGUAACUGCUGUACCAUUUGAGUAUUUUCCUCAUGGAAGCGGGAUAUACAGUGCCUUUGAAUAGCCACUGAUGCUGCCAAAUGAAGCCUCAUAAAUAUGCAUAUAAUAUCAAUAUUAGUGAAAACUCUUAUUGUCCUGUAAUGUAUUGUGUGCGUGUGUGUGUGUGUGUGUGUGUG
ensembl:lncRNA